rnacentral:rRNA from 1 species
GACGAACGCUGGCGGCGUGCUUAACACAUGCAAGUCGAACGAUGAAGCCGGAGCUUGCUCUGGUGAAUUAGUGGCGAACGGGUGAGUAACACGUGAGUAACCUGCCCUUGACUCUGGGAUAACUGCUAGAAAUGGUAGCUAAUACCGGAUACGACCCUCGGAGGCAUCUCCAGGGGGUGGAAAGAAUUUCGGUCAAGGAUGGACUCGCGGCCUAUCAGCUAGUUGGUGAGGUAACGGCUCACCAAGGCGACGACGGGUAGCCGGCCUGAGAGGGUGACCGGCCACACUGGGACUGAGACACGGCCCAGACUCCUACGGGAGGCAGCAGUGGGGAAUAUUGCACAAUGGGCGCAAGCCUGAUGCAGCAACGCCGCGUGAGGGAUGACGGCCUUCGGGUUGUAAACCUCUUUUAGCAGGGAAGAAGCGAAAGUGACGGUACCUGCAGAAAAAGCACCGGCUAAUUCCGUGCCAGCCGCCGCAGUAA